rnacentral:rRNA from 1 species
GACGAACGCUGGCGGCGUGCUUAACACAUGCAAGUCGAACGAUGAAGAAGAGCUUGCUCUUCGGAUUAGUGGCGAACGGGUGAGUAACACGUGACUAACCUGCCCCUUUCUCUGGGAUAACGCUCCGAAAGGAGUGCUAAUACCGGAUACUCACAUCGAGGCACAUGCCUUGAUGUGGAAAGCUUUUCGGAAAGGGAUGGAGUCGCGGCCUAUCAGCUUGUUGGGGAGGUAACGGCUCACCAAGGCGACGACGGGUAGCCGGCCUGAGAGGGGGACCGGCCACACUGGGACUGAGACACGGCCCAGACUCCUACGGGAGGCAGCAGUGGGGAAUAUUGCACAAUGGGCGAAAGCCUGAUGCAGCGACGCCGCGUGAGGGAUGAAGGUCUUCGGAUUGUAAACCUCUUUCAGUAGGGACGAAGCGAAAGUGACGGUACCUAAAGAAGAAGCACCGGCUAACUACGUGCCAGCAGCCGCAGUAA